rnacentral:misc_RNA from 1 species
UCCGGUUUAUCACCGGCAGUUUCCUUAGAGUGCCCGGCAUAACCCGCUGGUAACUAAGGAUGAGGGUUGCGCUCGUUGCGGGACUUAACCCAACAUCUCACGACACGAGCUGACGACAGCCAUGCAACACCUGUAAUGGUCCGGCCGAACCGACUCGCACAUCUCUGCGCAAUACGACCAUCAUGUCAAGGCCUGGUAAGGUUUUUCGCGUAGCAUCGAAUUAAACCGCAUGUUCCACCGCUUGUGCGGGUCCCCGUCAAUUCCUUUGAGUUUUAAUCUUGCGACCGUACUUCCCAGGCGGAGUGCUUAACGCGUUAGCUACGACACCGAAUGUAAAACCCGAUAUCUAGCACUCAUCGUUUAGGGCGUGGACUAC